rnacentral:rRNA from 1 species
UACGGAGGGUGCAAGCGUUGUUCGGAUUUAUUGGGCGUAAAGCGCGUGUAGGCGGUUUCUUAAGUCUGAUGUGAAAGCCCUGGGCUCAACCCAGGAAGUGCAUUGGAUACUGGAAGACUUGAAUACGGGAGAGGGUAGUGGAAUUCCUAGUGUAGGAGUGAAAUCCGUAGAUAUUAGGAGGAACACCGGUGGCGAAGGCGGCUACCUGGACCGAUAUUGACGCUGAGACGCGAAAGCGUGGGGAGCAAACAGG